rnacentral:ncRNA from 1 species
CAAAGGUUUGGUCCUGACUUUACUGUCAGCUUUAGCCCAACUUAUACAUGCAAGUAUCCGCGCCCCUGUGAGAAUGCCCUCAAUCCCCCGCCCGGGGACGAGGAGCGGGCAUCAGGCACGAUAACACUAGCCCAAGACGCCUUGCUAUGCCACACCCCCAAGGGAAUUCAGCAGUAAUAGACAUUAAGCCAUAAGUGAAAACUUGACUUAGUUAGGGUUAAAAGGGUCGGUAAAAUUCGUGCCAGCCACCGCGGUUAUACGAAAGACCCCAGUUAACAAACACGGCGUAAGGGGUGGUUAGGGAAUAAAUAAAAAUAAAGCCAAAGACCUCCUAAGCCGUCAUACGCAUCCUGGAGACACGAAGCCCAAAAACGAAAGUAGCUUUACCUAAACUUUACCUGACCCCACGAAAGCUAAGAAACAAACUGGGAUUAGAUACCCCACUAUGCUUAGCCCUAAACCUAGAUAUUACUUUACAAAAAUAUCCGCCAGGGUACUACGAGCACAGCUUAAAACCCAAAGGACUUGGCGGUGCCUCAGAUCCACCUAGAGGAGCCUGUUCUAGAACCGAUAACCCCCGUUAGACCUUACCAUCCCUUGUUUAUUCCGCCUAUAUACCGCCGUCGUCAGCUUACCCUGUGAAGGAUAAACAGUAAGCAAAAUGGGCAAACCCCAAAACGUCAGGUCGAGGUGUAGCGUACGAGAUGGAAAGAAAUGGGCUACAUUUUCUGAUACAGAAUACUACGAACGGCGCCUUGAAACAAGCGCCCGAAGGCGGAUUUAGCAGUAAAAAGCAAGCAGAGUGUCCUUUUGAAUUAGGCUCUGAGGCGCGCACACACCGCCCGUCACUCUCCCCUCCUACUAACCACAAACACCAUCCUUAAUAAUAAACACUGAAACACGGGGAGGCAAGUCGUAACAUGGUAAGUGUACCGGAAGGUGCACUUGGAAUAAC